CAGCAGCAGCCGCGGUAAAACAGAGGGUGCGAGCGUUAAUCGGAUUUACUGGGCGUAAAGCGUGCGUAGGCGGCUAAUUGAGUCGGAUGUGAAAUCCCCGAGCUUAACUUGGGAAUUGCAUUCGAUACUGGUUAGCUAGAGUGUGGGAGAGGAUGGUAGAAUUCCAGGUGUAGCGGUGAAAUGCGUAGAGAUCUGGAGGAAUACCGAUGGCGAAGGCAGCCAUCUGGCCUAACACUGACGCUGAGGUACGAAAGCAUGGGGAGCAAACAGGAUUAGAUACCCCGGUAGUCCCUGUCUCUUAUAC
rnacentral:rRNA from 1 species